UCGGAAUUACUGGGCGUAAAGCGUGCGCAGGCGGUCUUUUAAGUCAGAUGUGAAAUCCCCGGGCUCAACCUGGGAACUGCUUCCGAGACUGUGCGACUAGAGAUCGGUAGAGGGCGGUGGAAUUUCCGGUGUAGCGGUGAAAUGCGUAGAUAUCGGAAGGAACACCAAUGGCGAAGGCAGCCGCCUGGGCCUGAUCUGACACUGAGACACGAAAGCGUGGGGAUCAAACAGG
rnacentral:rRNA from 1 species